GAAAUGCGAUACGUAAUGUGAAUUGCAGAAUUCAGUGAAUCAUCGAAUCUUUGAACGCAUAUUGCGCUCUCUGGUAUUCCGGAGAGCAUGCUUGUUUGAGUAUCAGUAAACACCUCAACUCCCUUUUCUUUUUUGAAAUGGGAGCUGGACUUGAGUGAUCCCAACACUUUUCUCACUGGAAAGUGGCGGGUCACUUGAAAUGCAGGUGCAGCUGGACUUUUCUCUGAGCUAUAAGCAUAUCUAUUUAGUCUGCCUAAAAAACAGAUUAUUACCUUUGCUGCAGCUAACAUAAAGGAGAUGAGUUCUUGUGCUGACUGAUACUCAAAUCAAGUAAGACUACCCGCUGAACUUAA
rnacentral:misc_RNA from 1 species